GGAAAAGAAACCAACAGGGAUUGCCUCAGUAACGGCGAGUGAAGCGGCAAAAGCUCAAAUUUUAAAGCUGGCACCUUCGGUGUCCGCGUUGUAAUUUUGUGAGGCAUCUCCGGGUAGGGCGCCGGCCUAAGUUCCUUGGAACAGGACGUCAUAGAGGGUGAGAAUCCCGUGCUUGGCUGGCUGUCCCCGUCCAUGUGAGGUGUCUUCGACGAGUCGAGUUGUUUGGGAAUGCAGCUCAAAAUGGGUGGUAAAUUUCAUCUAAAGCUAAAUAUUGGUGGGAGACCGAUAGCGCACAAGUAGAGUGAUCGAAAGAUGAAAAGCACUUUGAAAAUAGAGUUAAAAAGUACGUGAAAUUGUUGAAAGGGAAGCGCUUGAGACCAGACUUCGGUGGGGGGUGAUCAGCUGUCCUUCUGGGCGGUGCACUUGCUCCCCUCCGGGCCAGCAUCGGUUGGGGCGGCGGGAUAAAGAUCCCGGGAAUGUGGCUCCUUUCGGGGAGUGUUAUAGCCCGGGUGAAUGCCGCCAGCUCCGACCGAGGACCGCGCCUUCGGGCUAGGAUGCUUGGCAUAAUGGUCUUCAGCGACCCGUCUUGAAACACGGACCAAGGAGUCUAACAUCUAUGCGAGUGUUUGGGUGUCAAACCCUUACGCGAAAUGAAAGUGAACGGAGGUGGGAACCCGCAAGGGCGCACCAUCGACCGGUCCUGAAGUCUUCUGAAGGAUCUGAGUAGGAGCAUAGCUGUUGGGACCCGAAAGAUGGUGAACUAUGCCUGAAUAGGGUGAAGCCAGAGGAAACUCUGGUGGAGGCUCGCAGCGGUUCUGACGUGCAAAUCGAUCGUCAAAUUUGGGUAUAGGGGCGAAAGACUAAUCGACCAUCUAGUACUGGU
rnacentral:rRNA from 1 species